rnacentral:pre_miRNA from 1 species
UGGGGGAGAGCAGGAUCCUGGGCUGUGUUCCCCGCGCCCUGUGCUCCGGGGCCUGCGCUGUUGGAAUCACGCUCCCGGGGCGCGCAGCCCCCU